rnacentral:rRNA from 1 species
ACUCCUACGGGAGGCAGCAGUUAGGAAUAUUCGGCAAAUGGGGGAAGCCCAUGACCGAGCGACACUGCGUGAAGGAGGAAGGCCUUAGGGUUGUAAAACUUCUGAACGAGAGACGAUAAUGACGGUAUCUCGGUAAUAGCACCGGCUAACUCCGUGCCAGCAGCCGCGGUAAUACGGAGGGUGCGAGCGUUAUCCGGGAAUCACUGGGCGUAAAGGGCGCGUAGGCGGUUACAUAAGUCCGAUGUUAAAGCGUAGGGCUCAACCCUAUAAAGCGUUGGAUACUGUGAAACUAGACUUCUGGAGAGGUAAGUGGAAUUACCAGAGUAGCGGUGAAAUGCGUAGAUACUGGUAGGAACACCCAUAGCGAAGGCAGCUUACUGGACAGAGAGUGACGCUGAGGCGCGAAAGUGUGGGGAGCAAACCGGAUUAGAUACCCUGGUAGGU